rnacentral:tRNA from 1 species
AAGUGAGAAGCAAAUAUUGCAAUCAGUUUCGACCUGAUCCUAGAUAAUACCCCUUAUCCUCACUUU